AUUGAACGCUGGCGGCAGGCCUAACACAUGCAAGUCGAGCGGUAGAGAGGUGCUUGCAUCUCUUGAGAGCGGCGGACGGGUGAGUAAUGCCUAGGAAUCUGCCUAGUGGUGGGGGAUAACGUUCGGAAACGGACGCUAAUACCGCAUACGUCCUACGGGAGAAAGCGGGGGAUCUUCGGACCUCGCGCCAUUAGAUGAGCCUAGGUCGGAUUAGCUAGUUGGUGAGGUAAUGGCUCACCAAGGCGACGAUCCGUAACUGGUCUGUAGAGGAUGAUCAGUCACACUGGAACUGAGACACGGUCC
rnacentral:rRNA from 1 species